rnacentral:rRNA from 1 species
CUCCUACGGGAGGCAGCAGUAGGGAAUCUUCCGCAAUGGACGAAAGUCUGACGGAGCAAUGCCGCGUGAGUGACGAAGGUUUUCGGAUCGUAAAACUCUGUUGUAAGGGAAGAACAAGUACCAAGUAACUACUGGUACCUUGACGGUACCUUACCAGAAAGCCACGGCUAACUACGUGCCAGCAGCCGCGGUAAUACGUAGGUGGCAAGCGUUGUCCGGAAUUAUUGGGCGUAAAGCGCGCGCAGGCGGUCCCUUAAGUCUGAUGUGAAAGCCCACGGCUCAACCGUGGAGGGUCAUUGGAAACUGGGGGACUUGAGUGCAGAAGAGGAAAGUGGAAUUCCAUGUGUAGCGGUGAAAUGCGUAGAGAUGUGGAGGAACACCAGUGGCGAAGGCGACUUUCUGGUCUGUAACUGACGCUGAGGCGCGAAAGCGUGGGGAGCAAACA